UACGAAGGGGGCUAGCGUUGCUCGGAAUGACUGGGCGUAAAGGGCGCGUAGGCGGAGUGUUUUGUCGGGCGUGAAAUUCCAGGGCUCAACCUUGGGGCUGCGUUCGAGACGGGCAUUCUGGAGUGGGGAAGAGGGUCGUGGAAUUCCCAGUGUAGAGGUGAAAUUCGUAGAUAUUGGGAAGAACACCGGUGGCGAAGGCG
rnacentral:rRNA from 1 species